AAGAUGUAACGGGGCUAAACCAUGCACCGAAGCUGCGGCAGCGACGUUUAUGCGUUGUUGGGUAGGGGAGCGUUCUGUAAGCCUGCGAAGGUGGCCUGUGAGGGUUGCUGGAGGUAUCAGAAGUGCGAAUGCUGACAUAAGUAACGAUAAAGCGGGUGAAAAGCCCGCUCGCCGGAAGACCAAGGGUUCCUGUCCAACGUUAAUCGGGGCAGGGUGAGUCGACCCCUAAGGCGAGGCCGAAAGGCGUAGUCGAUGGGAAACGGGUUAAUAUUCCCGUACUUGGUGUUACUGCGAAGGGGGGACGGAGAAGGCUAUGUUGGCCGGGCGACGGUUGUCCCGGUUUAAGCGUGUAGGUGUGUGUUCCAGGUAAAUCCGGUUCACUUUAACACUGAGGCGUGAUGACGAGGCACUACGGUGCUGAAGCAACAAAUGCCCUGCUUCCAGGAAAAGCCUCUAAGCAUCAGGUAACACGAAAUCGUACCCCAAACCGACACAGGUGGUCAGGUAGAGAAUACCAAGGCGCUUGAGAGAACUCGGGUGAAGGAACUAGGCAAAAUGGUGCCGUAACUUCGGGAGAAGGCACGCUGACACGUAGGUGAAGUGAUUUACUCAUGGAGCUGAAGUCAGUCGAAGAUACCAGCUGGCUGCAACUGUUUAUUAAAAACACAGCACUGUGCAAACACGAAAGUGGACGUAUACGGUGUGACGCCUGCCCGGUGCCGGAAGGUUAAUUGAUGGGGUCAGCGCAAGCGAAGCUCCUGAUCGAAGCCCCGGUAAACGGCGGCCGUAACUAUAACGGUCCUAAGGUAGCGAAAUUCCUUGUCGGGUAAGUUCCGACCUGCACGAAUGGCGUAAUGAUGGCCAGGCUGUCUCCACCCGAGACUCAGUGAAAUUGAACUCGCUGUGAAGAUGCAGUGUACCCGCGGCAAGACGGAAAGACCCCGUGAACCUUUACUAUAGCUUGACACUGAACAUUGAGCCUUGAUGUGUAGGAUAGGUGGGAGGCUUUGAAGUGUGGACGCCAGUCUGCAUGGAGCCGACCUUGAAAUACCACCCUUUAAUGUUUGAUGUUCUAACGUGGACCCGUUACCCGGGUUGCGGACAGUGUCUGGUGGGUAGUUUGACUGGGGCGGUCUCCUCCUAAAGAGUAACGGAGGAGCACGAAGGUUGGCUAAUCCUGGUCGGACAUCAGGAGGUUAGUGCAAUGGCAUAAGCCAGCUUGACUGCGAGCGUGACGGCGCGAGCAGGUGCGAAAGCAGGUCAUAGUGAUCCGGUGGUUCUGAAUGGAAGGGCCAUCGCUCAACGGAUAAAAGGUACUCCGGGGAUAACAGGCUGAUACCGCCCAAGAGUUCAUAUCGACGGCGGUGUUUGGCACCUCGAUGUCGGCUCAUCACAUCCUGGGGCUGAAGUAGGUCCCAAGGGUAUGGCUGUUCGCCAUUUAAAGUGGUACGCGAGCUGGGUUUAGAACGUCGUGAGACAGUUCGGUCCCUAUCUGCCGUGGGCGCUGGAGAACUGAGGGGGGCUGCUCCUAGUACGAGAGGACCGGAGUGGACGCAUCACUGGUGUUCGGGUUGUCAUGCCAAUGGCACUGCCCGGUAGCUAAAUGCGGAAGAGAUAAGUGCUGAAAGCAUCUAAGCACGAAACUUGCCCCGAGAUGAGUUCUCCCUGAGACUUAGAGUCUCCUGAAGGAACGUUGAAGACGACGACGUUGAUAGGCCGGGUGUGUAAGCGCAGCGAUGCGUUGAGCUAACCGGUACUAAUGAACCGUGAGGCUUAACCUUACAACGCCGAAG
rnacentral:rRNA from 1 species